rnacentral:lncRNA from 1 species
UUCACCGUGCUUUGUGCUCAGGAGGGGCAUUGAAGCUCUGUAGGUGCUUCUGCCCUUUUUCCCUGACCCUGAAGAGAAGGGACACUGUCCCUGCAUGGACAGUCUUGGUCUGGAAGUAGCUGGCCUCAGUAACACAGCGUUUUAAGGGCAGAGCGUGGCGAUCAGGAGAGGAAGGUGGUUCCCGUGCCUGUGGGCAGCUCUUCUCGAGAUCAGGGAGAGGGGACUGCCUUGUUAAGUAGGAAGUGGGUGUGUUUCCCAAGGAAAACUUCAGAAAUUAAGCUCCAGGGGCAAACACUGUGAGGUUCUACCACCUCCUUGAGGACAUCCUUAAAACCACAGGGGCAUCAGCAGGGCUUGGAGCAGGACUGGCCAACCCCAGAGCACCUCACNCUGUGAGGUUCUACCACCUCCUUGAGGACAUCCUUAAAACCACAGGGGCAUCAGCAGGGCUUGGAGCAGGACUGGCCAACCCCAGAGCACCUCACAAAGCCCUCUGUGUGUCUGUGGCAGUCGAGUAGCACCUGGGGGGUGCUGAAAGUCCCAGUUCUGAGAGAAAAUUCUGUUUAACUCGUACACGUUGGCUGGGUGUGUCCCCCCAGUACAGCUCGGUUCUUCUCUGAGGCAGGGUCUCUCCCUGUUAAGGGCCGGGCGUGUUUUUAGCACAACACAGCAAAGUGGAAUAUUUGCUUCAGCAAGAGCUGAUGAUGUCUGGAGGGUUUUUCAGGUACCUCAGCGGCCAGGAGCACCUGUCUAGGUCACUAGGAACACUUUUUGAUCUCGUUCAGUUCUUUUCUGCGUGAGGCUCUGUGGGCUGCUGGCAAGGCCCAAAGUAAGGAAGGUUGCCCCAGUGUCCGUGCUCAUGUCAAUAGUUUAAUUUAUUUGGCUUUUCUAGGAGCAGACAUCGUGGAGGACCUUGGUGCUGUUUUCACUGGCCUCCUGCACUCUCUGAGAGAACCUCUUGCUCCCUGCUUGACGUUGUAGCUCUGUGACAAAGCUGCUAAGUAUCCUCAGCUCUACCAGUUUAACCAAUACUAUAGGCUCUGGAUGCCCAAGCAGUCCCAGGAACCUGUGGUAUGGAAUCCCCGAAGUCACUGAAUUCUUGAGCCAGUAUUCCUAUAAAAUCCUCGCAGUCGACAGAGGAACGAACCAAGCGAGUGCCCUGAAACCAGCGGAGCAGCUGCAGGGGCUGAAGGGAACAGAAAGGGCUCCCGGCACCUUUUGCCUCCGUUCUCUGCCAUUCCCCAAAAGGCGUCGCAGUCCCUGAAGAGGUGUCUGUCAUGCAGCCUGCCAAAAU